AGAGCUCGAUAGGCGGUUUGUCGCGUCGUCUGUGAAAUUCUGCAGCUUAACUGCAGGCGUGCAGGCGAUACGGGCAGACUUGAGUACUACAGGGGAGACUGGAAUUCCUGGUGUAGCGGUGAAAUGCGCAGAUAUCAGGAGGAACACCGGUGGCGAAGGCGGGUCUCUGGGUAGAACUGACGCUGAGGAGCGAAAGCGUGG
rnacentral:rRNA from 1 species